rnacentral:rRNA from 1 species
UACGUAGGGGGGCAAGCGUUGUCCGGAUUCAUUGGGCGUAAAGAGCGUGUAGGCGGCCAGGUAGGUCGGUUGUGAAAACUGGAGGCUCAACCUUCAGAGGUCGACCGAAACCAUCUGGCUAGAGUCCGGGAGAGGAGAGUGGAAUUCCUGGUGUAGCGGUGAAAUGCGCAGAUAUCAGGAAGAACACCCGUGGCGAAAGCGGCUCUCUGGAACGGUACUGACGCUGAGGCGCGAAGGCGUGGGGAGCGAACGGG